rnacentral:rRNA from 1 species
CAGCCGUAAACAAUGUGCGUUAGGUGUGUCGGUAACCACGUGUUACUGAUGCGCCGAAGAGAAAUCGUGAAACGCACCACCUGGGAAGUACGGUCGCAAGGCUGAAACUUAAAGGAAUUGGCGGGGGAGCACCACAACAGGUGGAGCCUGCGGUUUAAUUGGAUUCAACGCCGGACAUCUCACCGGAUAAGACAGCUGAAUGAUUGUCAAUCUGAAGAUUUUACAUGACUAGCUGAGAGGAGGUGCAUGGCGUCAGUGACU